UCUUGACUACUGUUUAUUCACGGACCUUACGCGGGCCAGUCAGGGAAAGCCCACGGGCCGGAUGUGGCCCGCGGGCCGUAUGUUGCCCAUGUCUGGUUUAGCUGAAAAGGUGUGUUUAGUGUAUGUG